CCCAAUCACUUGAUUUAAUCAGCAGCCUGCUAUAGUGGUCUCGUUUGCAGCCUUUCACAUUGCUAACAGAAAGUUUCAGGUAUAGGUAGGUAGAACAUAGUUUGUCUCUAUGUCUGCUUGUUGUGUGUCUUUAAUUCUUUCUGUAGAUCAUGUGCAUUGGAGCUGGACAAUGAAAUGGCAAUUUAAAAUAGAUCUGGGCACAAUCUGAGUUUAAUUCUAAAGACAAUGUUUGUUGAAGCCCUUUAUUUUUCACAACUGCACAGGGGAUGGAACACAAACGAAAUCCCCCUUCUUUUAUCCAAGUCUAAUUUGUUUUGAAAGCAAUGGUCUCAUUUAUUAACAGGUGCAAAAACAUUCAAUGUUAAAAUUCCCAUCAGUCAUUUGGAGCCGAGACUUUACUUCUUUAACAUGUUAAUCGUUAUUUUAUACUUACACUUUAUUUUUAUUUAAUUUUUUUUUCAUACGUGUGCAGAAUUUGCUGGGUCAUAAUCAUUUGAAUAGAAAUGGGUUCAUACAUUUUCUACAACUCACUUCCUGAACUGUUA